rnacentral:ncRNA from 2 species
UACGUAAGGACCAAGCGUUAUCCGGAAUCACUGGGCGUAAAGGGUGCGCAGGAGGGCAUGCAAGUCUGACGUGAAAGCCCCGAGCUUAACUCGGGAAUCGCGCCGGAAACUGUAUGUCUUGAGGACCAGAGAGGCAGAGAGAAUUCCUGGUGUAGCGGUGAAAUGCGUAGAUAUCAGGAGGAAUACCAGUGGCGAAAGCGCUCUGCUGGAUGGUUCCUGACUCUGAGGCACGAAAGCGUGGGUAGCAAACGGG